GUUUUGGAUUCGAUUGGCUGUAUGAAGUUAUGUUAGCAUGUCGUGGUAAUGCACGUUAAAACAUCGAGAUAAAAAAUAAUCGGAAACGAUAAUAGAACUUUAGCUUUCGCUGCUUAAUAGAAAGCAUCCAAUAAGAAGCCGACCUUCAGGGCAUCUUGGCGGAUUUCAGAUACUGCAGGUUGAUUAUUAAGUUUGCUUCGGCUUAAUAGUUGAAAUACAGAGGAUAGAUAUUAUUAGCUUGCUCUUUACAUAAUAAUAGCCGAACUAAAGAAAAAGAGAUAAACAUGUAGAAAAUAUAAUGGAUUGUAGUUAAGACCGGGGUUCAAUUCCCCGCUAGUCCACCA
rnacentral:tmRNA from 1 species